GCAAGGCUGAUCAAUCAGAUCAGAUCAGAUCACAUCUCGGAAAGAAAAACGCACGCAGCACGCCGAUGGAUCAAUUUCGCCUCGCGCCGAGCACCCUUGCCAUCGCCUGAUCGUCGUCUGACCUCGCGCCUUCGCUUCGCCUUAUCACAAUAUCACCUGCAUGCAUAGCAGCAGAGCCAGGAACAAGCGACAAGACGAGACGAGUGCUGCGUACAAUCAAUCAGAAAAUCUAUCCAUUGAUUUCAAAUUCCAUGUUCUACAGCUCAAAGCUUGUCAACCGGGUAGCACCGAAGCUUGAGGCAGUCGCGCCAGUAGCGGAUGUCGUUCGUGUCAGUGUGCGACGUGACGGAGCCGGAGAAGACCCGGAAUGGAUUGUUCGGCUCGUUGGAGUAGUACUUGAGUUUUGCUUCCUCCGGCAUCCUGAAGAACUCCGCGGCCGCUUCUCGGAAGCCCUGGAUCACGUCUUCCUCCACACCAUGGUUCACCACCUGCAAAACGGCAUGCAUGAAUAUCAGGAACACCGCAGAUUACAUGCUUGCAUGGCGAAAAGGCAAUGAAGCAAAGCAAGGCAACGUCCAUUUAAUCAGCUAACGUGCCUGGAAGAAGCCAAACUCCUUGCCGGCCUCCAUGAUCUCACCAAUAACCUGUCGGCGGCCAUCUCCCAUAGCACCCCGGAGGUCGAUGACGGGGAGAGCGACCGAGAGGUCGUCCCGUAGCUCGUUGUCGCACGGGCGUUUCUCUGGCGGCAAGACGUACUUGUCCGGCAGGGACUUCGGCGACGGCAAGUCGCAGAUGAGCUUCAUUGUCUCACUUUUCUUGUUGGCUUCGAGCUGAGUACUGCACUACUUUUUGUGUGUACUCUACUACUCUAUCACAUGCACUUAUACUA